rnacentral:tRNA from 1 species
UCCCUGGUGGCUCAGAUAGUAAAGCGUCUGCCUACAAUGCUGGAGACCCAGGUUCAAUCCCUGGGUUGGGAA